UACACUGUUUUACAUCUUUUAUUUGUGUGUGUAUGUGUGUGUGCACGUGUGUUUGUGUGGGCAUGUUUUUCACAAGGAUAUGUAUGUCUGAGAGUUUAGACUUUGUGGGGACAAACGGCAGGUCCCCACAAGGAAAACUGCUUUUUUAUUAUAAAAUUAAUUAUUAUUAUUAAACUGCAACUUUAAUUUAAAAUAUUAAACGAGGCAAAUAUUUAUUUGGUUUCAGACGUUAGGGUUAAAUUUAGGUGUAUUCACAGCAUUAAUGCGCUGCACUAAUUGUUAUGUCAGUGGAAAGUCCUCACAAGGAGACUAAGAAAACAUGGUCCAGUAGCCUGGUCCUCACAAAAAAUACAGUGUUUUUACAUCUUUCACACACAUGUCUAUGUGUGUGUGUGUGUGAGAGAGUGUGUGUGAGAGAGAGAGAGAGAGAGAGAGAGAGACGCGUGUGUGACCAGACGGCCAGAAACAAACAGGACACACCAGUGUAUGGACACAAAUGGUUGAGUGAUCACAGAUGAGGACAUCAAAUGGCUCCCCCAGGAACACUUUCACACGGGUCAGCUGUCUUUCUAAUCCCACACACUUCAAACCAAGCAGACCAGCACUUAAAAGGACCAAGCUUCUCAUCUCAUAUAACAGAAGCUAGUGGCUGCAUGAAGGAACUACAGAACCGUCCUAAUUUGUCAUAUGGUCAAUGAGUUAAGACAUAUGCUUUACUGAGAAAGCAGAAGUAAGCUGAAGCGAUCUGUUUUUGAGUCUCACACUUGCUCAUAGGCUUUAAAUAGGGACUGUCAAGCAUCUACAACUCCAACGAUCUGCACAGCGGAGCCAAUUAGACCCGGGACGUCCAGUGGCUGGGAUGCCAUGACCAACUCUAUUACACUGUGCUAUUAGGUGAAGUUCCAGUUUUACAUUUAAAAACAAGGUAGUAAGACAAAAUAUGCAGCUUGUCUUGUCACCAAGAACCACGAAGCCCUCCACCCUGAAGACUUUCCCAUGUUGGACAACGUACAGUUUUACGCCCGACUGUUACAAAGUGCUGAGACUGGAGACUCCUUCCAAAAAUGCUAAAUAAACAUCUCCUUAAAAUAACAACAAUUAAACUCAUAUCAGAAAUUACACACUUUUUUAAUCUGUUUAAGUGGAGCAACUGCCAUACAGGUUGUUACUACAGAAACAAUAACAUGUUUAUACUAUAUAUCAUACCAAUCAUACUUGCAGUAUGAUGAAAAAAGAAUGUAUAAGUAAAGUUAUGCUAAUUGAAA